UGGGCCAGGGAGCAGCUGGUGGG
rnacentral:miRNA from 1 species